GUAAGUGAUUUUCAUUCUUGUAGAAACCGGUAGAUUUGAACGUCUGGGAACGUUGUCGAGCUGCAGUAACAGAUGAAGACAGUGACACUGUGUGGAAAGAGUUCUGUGCUGAGAAACAACCAAAUAAACUGCAGGAAAAGAUGAUACAGUGUUUAAAGAAAAUUGUAAAGGAUCAACCAGCGUGGGACGAUGAGCUAUUGAAGAAAGUUAGGCAAUGUUUUGAAGAAAUCUACAAAUUAUUGGGUCUGACGAAAUAAGCAAAAUGUGACGUUUCACAGGAUACCAUAGUAACUUAGUUCACGAAAAUAAUCGAUUUUAUAACAAUUUCUUCUGGUCUACAUUCGACCUUACAGAGUAAAUUCAAAAUAUCUUAGAUUAGCGAAAUGAUUGGUUCUAUCUCUUGAGUUUUAGUAAAUAUGAACAUUGUAUUAUCUAGUUUAUAUUAUUCUUUAUGUUUUUGUGGCUACAUAUCAAAUCAAAUCAUUAAAAUCUUUAAUUAAGAAGAA